rnacentral:rRNA from 1 species
UACAGAGGUCCCAAGCGUUGUUCGGAUUCAUUGGGCGUAAAGGGUGCGUAGGCGGAUCGCUAAGUCAGGGGUGAAAUCCUGGAGCUCAACUCCAGAACUGCCCUUGAUACUGGCGAUCUCGAGUCCGGGAGAGGUGAGUGGAACUGCGAGUGUAGAGGUGAAAUUCGUAGAUAUUCGCAAGAACACCAGUGGCGAAGGCGGCUCACUGGCCCGGUACUGACGCUGAGGUGCGAAAGCGUGGGGAGCAAACAGG